UGAACGCUGGCGGCGUGCCUAAUACAUGCAAAUCGAGCGAACAGACGAGGAGCUUGCUCCUCUGACGUUAGCGGCGGACGGGUGAGUAACACGUGGAUAACCUACCUAUAAGACUGGGAUAACUUCGGGAAACCGGAGCUAAUACCGGAUAAUAUAUUGAACCGCAUGGUUCAAUAGUGAAAGACGGUUUUGCUGUCACUUAUAGAUGGAUCCGCGCCGCAUUAGCUAGUUGGUAAGGUAACGGCUUACCAAGGCAACGAUGCGUAGCCGACCUGAGAGGGUGAUCGGCCACACUGGAACUGAGACACGGUCCAGACUCCUACGGGAGGCAGCAGUAGGGAAUCUUCCGCAAUGGGCGAAAGCCUGACGGAGCAACGCCGCGUGAGUGAUGAAGGUCUUCGGAUCGUAAAACUCUGUUAUUAGGGAAGAACAAAUGUGUAAGUAACUAUGCACGUCUUGACGGUACCUAAUCAGAAAGCCACGGCUAACUACGUG
rnacentral:rRNA from 1 species